CGAAGGGGGCUAGCGUUGCUCGGAAUCACUGGGCGUAAAGGGCGCGUAGGCGGACUCUUAAGUCGGGGGUGAAAGCCCAGGGCUCAACCCUGGAAUUGCCUUCGAUACUGGGAGUCUUGAGUUCGGAAGAGGUUGGUGGAACUGCGAGUGUAGAGGUGAAAUUCGUAGAUAUUCGCAAGAACACCAGUGGCGAAGGCGGCCAACUGGUCCGAAACUGACGCUGAGGCGCGAAAGCGUGGGGAGCAAACAGG
rnacentral:rRNA from 1 species